AACGCGAAGAACCUUACCUACCCUUGACAUCCUGCGAAUCCGACCGAGAAGUUGGAGUGCCGAAAGGAACGCAGAGACAGGUGCUGCAUGGCUGUCGUCAGCUCGUGUUGUGAGAUGUUGGGUUAAGUCCCGUAACGAGCGCAACCCUUGUCCUUAGUUGCCAGCAUUAAGUUGGGGACUCUAAGGAGACCGCCGGUGAUGAACCGGAGGAAGGCGGGGACGACGUCAAGUCAUCAUGGCCUUUAUGGGUAGGGCUACACACGUGCUACAAUGGGGCGUACAGAGGGUCGCCAACCCGCAAGGGGGAGCCAAUCUCUAUAAAGCGUCUCGUAGUCCGGAUUGGAGUCUGCAACUCGACUCCAUGAAGUCGGAAUCGCUAGUAAUCGUAGAUCAGCAUUGCUACGGUGAAUACGUUCCCGGGCCUUGUACACACCGCACGA
rnacentral:rRNA from 1 species